rnacentral:lncRNA from 1 species
AUUUUUUGAUUGUUUUUAUUACUCGAUCUGAAAAUGUAUCAAAUGAUCUUUUCAUAGGAACAUGUAUUACAUUUGUUGUUCUAUUUCGUUCUAGUUUUCCGGAACACCUAAAGCUUGAGUAAUAGAUCAGCUGUUUGAUGUCAAAAAAAGAAAGAAACUACUCUCGUUGUUUAAGGGCGAAACCAUUUAUUUAAGUUUUGUAUGUAUAUUCGUUCUUUUUUUAAUUAAAUGUGAAAUUUUACUUUUAUAAAAAUUAUUUUAUUGUGAAAUUUAUUACCAAAACGAAAGUUUAAUUUCCAAAGAUUUAAGCAACGUAACUUCUGUUGAGUAUCUAUAUAUUAUAUCAUACUAAUGAUUGAUAUUGAAUCAUCUACUUUAGGAUAUAGAAUAUUUAGUCACUUACUUCUAUUGCAAUGCCCUAGCUUACCUUCAUGUAUAUAUAUAUAUAUAUAUAUAUAUAUUGUCUCUGUAUAAUGUGAAUAAAAUCAUCCUUCUCAAUAAAGCUUUACAUGGUUUACAUC